AAACAGAAUGCUAUACAACUGGGGCCAUAAAUUGUGAAAGCUAACAAAAAGGUUUCCAAAAUCUUGACCUGAUCUUCUGACAGCUUCAGGAGAGAUCACAGCUCCAGAGCCAAAGCUUUGUCAUGGUCUUCAGUAACUGAACCAAAAGACUCAGGUGACACUGUGAAAAGGAUUGACAGAGCCUGUGACACGAAGGGAUCUGCCAUAUAUGCAGCAAUGCGGCUGUCAAUGGAUGCAUGAGGAAAAAGGGCUGAUGUGAGAACAAAGUACUGUCAGCAAUCUACCCUUUAAACUGCUUAGACCUGGAAGGCACUCUCAUUGCUUUAUUUCCUUGCUCAUUUUUCUCCAAGAUUGGUACAUCUGAACUACCUUUCUACAGAUCUAUA